UACGAAGGGGGCGAGCGUUGUUCGGAAUUACUGGGCGUAAAGGGCGCGCAGGCGGCCUUAGAAGUCAGAUGUGAAAGCCCCGGGCUCAACCUGGGAAUGGCAUUUGAUACUCUGAGGCUGGAGUACGGGAGAGGAGAGUGGAAUUCCCAGUGUAGAGGUGAAAUUCGUAGAUAUUGGGAAGAACACCGGUGGCGAAGGCGGCUCUCUGGACCGUAACUGACGCUGAGGCGCGGAAAGCGUGGGGAGCAAACAGGAUUAGA
rnacentral:rRNA from 1 species